GCCUACGGGAGGCAGCAGUUGGGAAUAUUGGACAAUGGAGGAAACUCUGAUCCAGUGACGCCGCGUGAAGGAAGAAGGUCUUCGGAUUGUAAACUUAUUUUGUCAGGGAAGAAACAAAUGACUGUACCUGAAGAAAAAGCACCGGCUAACUACGUGCCAGCAGCCGCGGUAAUACGUAGGGUGCAAGCGUUAUCCGGAUUUACUGGGUGUAAAGGGCGAGUAGACGGCGAUGCAAGUCAGAUGUGAAAUGCUAGGGCUUAACCUUAGAACUGCAUCUGAAACUGUAUUGCUAGAGUGCAGGAGAG
rnacentral:rRNA from 1 species